GGCAGUGGUAGCUCAGUGGUUAAGACGUUGGACUUCUGAUCAGAAAGUCUUGAGUUCAAAUCACAGUACUGGCA